AUUGAACGCUGGCGGCAUGCUUUACACAUGCAAGUCGAACGGUAACAGGGUGCUUGCACCGCUGACGAGUGGCGAACGGGUGAGUAAUGCGUCGGAACGUGCCGAGUAGUGGGGGAUAACGCAGCGAAAGUUGUGCUAAUACCGCAUACGUACUGAGGUAGAAAGUGGGGGACCUUCGGGCCUCACGCUAUUCGAGCGGCCGACGUCUGAUUAGCUAGUAGGUGAGGUAAAGGCUCACCUAGGCGACGAUCAGGAGCGGGUCUGAGAGGAUGACCCGGCACACGGGGACCGUGACACGGCCCAGACUCCUACGGGAGGCAGCAGUGGGGAAUUUUGGACAAUGGGCGAAAGCCUGAUCCAGCCAUGCCGCGUGUCUGAAGAAGGCCUUCGGGUUGUAAAGGACUUUUGUCAGGGAGGAAAUCCCUAGUGCUAAUAACACUGGGGGAUGACAGUACCUGAAGAAUAAGCACCGGCUAACUACGUGCCAGCCGCCGCCGUAA
rnacentral:rRNA from 1 species